UCUGCUGGAAGUGGUGUCUUGCUCCUAGCUGGCACACUUUGCAGGGGCUGAUUGUGCUCAGCUUGGGGGCAUGAGCAUUGUGGCAUCGUGGGAUGUUCUCUCAGUCUGUGACUUGAAGGUUAUGAGCUCGGAGAAGAGACAGUUAAAGCUUCCUCGCGCCAGCGAGAUGAGUUGUACCACCCAGCGCCCAUGCCAGGUCAGCAGUUUGGAUGGAGCUGAGACACUUACCGGCUGUGCCAAGCAGUGUCAGACACCUCUGGAAGCCCCUGCCUAGGACCCCGAAUUUAGAUUCAUGCUGCAGUCUGGGGAAUGUUUUUGACGUCUGCCGGGCUACAGGGAAAAGCGCACUGCACACACACAGCUUCUGAGAAGAGACAGAGCUCUCCAGGCUGGGCGUCAGAGGAAGCUGGACCUGGGCAGGACUGCUCAGAUAUCCAGCUUCCUGCAGUGAACGGAGCUGCCCAGCUCACCUGCGGUCAGCAGGCUCCAGGAUUAUAUCAUCUUUAUUAUCUAGCGCCCUACCUGUGACAGGUGAGGAAACCAGCCCAGUCUCUAGUGACACAACAGAGCCCCACAGAUACCACAUUCUUCAAUGUCUGCACCGUAGCUGUUGGAUCUGUUUACCUUUGUGGAUCUGGGUAUUUGUCAAGACAGCGAUGUUGAAAUCUGAAAGCAGUGUUGAUAACGCCAUUCAUAAAUCUCAGUCAUCAUGAUGAUGUUGUUUUCUCUUUUUGUGACCAAGAAUGUGUUCUUUUUGGCCUUUGCGUCGUGAGACCCAAGGCAGAAGUGCCUAGAUAACUCAAGAUGCUGUAUUUGAGAAGCACACAGAAGAGGUGAAGAAACUUCCAUGGAAAAGUAAGAGUGUAUUUGGACAGUGGGAAUAACACGUGUUUGGGCAAGGCGAUGGCUGGUUCUUGUUGAUGCCACCUGGUUGCGGUUUGGUGAAAUCUCUGAAAUAAGCACUUUGCCCAUACACAGGGUCGUGGAGGGCAUAAGGAUCUUGAGGGCAUUGGUCCUGGAAGCAUCAGUGAGAUAACACAGUGCAGAGGGGACUCUCUGCUUCUACUGGAACCAUCAUUCGAGGCUCAGAAAGAAUAUCUGUGUUGGACAUGGCUCUAAUGCACCCUGUCUACAGGAAUAGUGUAUUUCCUGGGGAACAUGGGGAUAUUGUAUUCCUGAAGAAACACUGAAGAAGAAAGUACAGCUCCUCCCCGGGGUUUGGAUCAUUCUGAACUACAUGGAAUUCUGCUUAUGUCCAGGAGGAGUGGCUUAAAGUGUGGCUGUGAUUGAGCGGGUUGAAGACAAAUUAGGAUCAUAUUUUAUUCUAUACAGUGAUAGAUACAGUGGAUUUCAUGUUCUUUAGAAAUAUGUGCAAUCAAUGCUGGUGUUGAAAGGAAAGAUAGAGAUGAUCCUUCCUCGGGCAAGCAAAAACAGAUAUGGACUCGGUUUGUGAAUGGUGGCCUGGAGGGACCCGGCAUGGUAUUGAUGAUCUCUAGAAACUUCCAGACGAACAAAUGUGGGUGUCCCCUGUUAGAUUACUGAGUGCAGGUACUGCAGAAGACUUCUGGUGUUUUCUACAGAUAAAUGCUUACACAGAACUGUUUAUUACUGUAAUACAAUCAUGCUAUCACAGGC